UUAUGCCUACGGGACGCAGCAGUGAGGAAUAUUGGUCAAUGGCCGAGAGGCUGAACCAGCCAAGUCGCGUGAGGGAUGACGGCCCUACGGGUUGUAAACCUCUUUUGUCGGGGAGCAAGACCCGCCACGAGUGGCGGAGCGAGAGUACCCGAAGAAAAAGCAUCGGCUAACUCCGUGCCAGCAGCCGCGGUAAUACGGAGGAUGCGAGCGUUAUCCGGAUUUAUUGGGUUUGAAGGGUGCGUAGGCGGGCUUUUAAGUCAGCGGUAAAAAUUCGGGGCUCAACCCCGUCCGGCCGUUGAAACUGG
rnacentral:rRNA from 1 species